UAGAUAUCCUUGUACAUGCAAAGAUAUAUGUGUGAGGAUGUCAAUUGUGGCAUUGCUUACAAUGGCAAGAUACUAGAAACAAGUUGAAGGACCACUGGUAAGAGCUAUUGAAAUGAAUGAUGGUAACUGGAUGAUGGAGUUGGAUGAAUAUGAGACUUGGAGCAGCUGCAGUUGGGGGAACGCCUGGAGCUCCCACAAGACCUGAAGGCAGACCCUGAGGCAGGAGCUAAGCCAAGGGAGUGUGGCUGGAGAAUGGAGCCUACUGAAGUCCAGCUGGUGACGUCCUGAAGCUGGAACCUUUCCUGGCACUGGGGGGAAAUGCAGCUGUAGCUGCCUGGCCUCGCAGCUCUCCAAGACUUGAUGCAGUCUGGCCCCCCCCGGCACAAUCUGGAGCUGAAGGUGAUUACCCUGGUUUGCCUGAGCCUAAACUUCCAAGGACAGGCGCUGAGAUGAAGGGCCCUCAGGCGGAUUAUCAGCAUCAAAGGUACCGUAAUCACACCACUCCAGGUAAUCAAAGCCCAGCACAGCCUUUCCGGUCAUUUCCCUUGUUAUGGCAAUGCACUCUGCUUGCCUCAACCCUGAGAGUGGAGGUCAGAUCGCCUGGGUCACCUUGAGGAAGGAGGCUUGGCAUUUACCCAGGUGAUGAAGCAGUCUUUAUUUCACUCUUCACCGGCUCAGCAAAGUUGAGCAAUUUUAAAUUUUAAAAAAUGCUCCAGAGACUUCUGUCAACUGCAAAUCCCAGAGGCAGCCCUGAUAGUAGAAGUGCCCUUGGCAGGAGCAGGCUGGCCAGCAGAGAUGUGCCAGGAGAAAUAGGGGUGGGGCUCCCUGGGCUGCUCCCCAGACAGCUGGCCCCUGCAUUGUGAACAUCCCUGUGCAACGCACCCAGAGGUGGGUAGUCCCUGCUGGGCACCGGUGUGUGCCAAGUGCUGUGCUGUUCAUGUGAGCCCAAAAGGGCGAUUUUCAUUUAAGCUGCAGUGUAAUAAUAACCAGGAAUUCAUCUGGAUAGCCAAUUCUCCUUGGUUAAUAUGUUUUGGGUAAUUUAUUAGGAGAGAGAAGUUAAGGCAUUGGAAAUAAUUUUGCUCUUCAUUGUCCCAAUCUGGUUAAAAUAUCUCUUGAUAAAAAACAAUACUCAGAAGUCAGCACUUCAUUUUCUAAGUCAUGGCUCUUCUGUUUAGGCAUAACUUCAGGAGGGCCCGAGGGCUAUAGACUUGCUGAAUUAACAAACAGUACAACAUUAUAGUUAAGAAUAUUCAAUCAUGAGGCACAGCCACUUGGUCAGAUCCUCCCAAAGCUGUGUAAUCCCAGGCAAUUACACAGUUAUCCUGUCUAAGUUCAAUUUCUUCACCCAUAAAAGGAAGACAGAUAUUACCUACUUCAUAAGGUGAUUGUGAAGAUUAAAAGGACACCUAGGUAAAGGUACUGAAUAAGUAUUCAGUAAGCUGGAAUCAAGAUCGCUGGGAGAAAUAUCAGUAAUCUCAGAAAUGUAGGUGAUACCACCCUUAUGGCAGAAAGUGAAGAGGAACUAAAGAGCCUCUUGAUGAAGGUGAAAGAGGAGAGUGAAAAAGCUGACUUAAAACUCAACGUUCAAAAUACCAAGAUCAUGGCAUCCAGUCCCAGUCACUUCUUGGCAAAUGUAUGGGAAACAAUGGAAACAGUGAAGACUUUAUUUUCUUGGGCUCCAAAAUCACUGCAGCUGGUGACUGCAACCGUGAAAUUAAAAGACGCUUACUCCUUGGAAGAGAAGUUAUGACCAACCUAGACAGAAUAUUAGAAAGCAGAAACAUUACCUUGCCAACAAAGGUCCAUCUAGUCAAGGCUAUGGUUUUUCCAGUAGUCAUGUAUGGAUGUGAGCAUUGGACCAUAAUGCAGGCUGAGCAGGACCAAUUCUGCAGGCUGAGCACUGCAGAAUUGAUGCUUUUGAUCUGUGGUGUGGGAGAAGACUCUUGAGAAUCCCCUGGACUGCAGGGAGAUCAAACUAGUCAAUCCUAAAGGAAAUCAAUCCUGAAUGUUCAUUGGAGGAACUGGUGCUGAAGCUGAAGCUCCAAUACUUUGGCCACCUGAUGCGGAGAGCUGACUCAUUAGAAAAGACCCUGAUGCUGGGAAAGAUUGAAGACAAGAGAAGAAGGGGACGGCAGAGGAUGAGAUAGUUGGAUGGCAUUACCAACUUGAUGGACAUGAGUUUGAACAAGUUCCGAGAGAUGAUGAAAGAUGGGGAAGCCUGGCAUGCUGCAGUCCGUGGGGUCACAAUGAGUCGGACAUGACUGAGUGACUGAACAACAAUAAAAUAUUGUUAAGUGCCUACUCUGUUCCAGGUGAGUGGAGCAUAAGUACUCAUAUUCUAGGUGAGUAGAAUAUGGUCCUUAUCUAUAGGAGUUUCAGAACUAGUGUGGAAAGCAGAUAUUGUCACAUAUACCAAACUUGGAAAUACAGGCAGGUACAAAGUACCACUGAACUCAGGAGUAUCCAUUGGGUAGCCAGGGAAGACUUCACAGAAGAGGCAACCUUUAGCUGAGUAUUGAAGGAUGAUUAGGAGUUCAGCAGGUAGACAAAGCUGGGGGAGAGCAUUCUGAACAGUGUCAGCAGCUUGUACAAAGGGAGGCAGGAAAGAGUGUGGCCCAAUCAGAGAACCCUAGGAGUUCUUAAAAGAUAAAAAAUUUAGAAGGAUAAAAUUUGACUCAUAGAUUUAUAAAUUGAGCACCUGUCAAAGGUUUUAUUGAACUCAUUAAUGAGAAAAUCAAUAUGAUGUUAUAAAUGGUUCAAAGGAGAAUUCAAGCAACAUUCAUCUAUAAAUGAUCAGGAAUGAUGAAAAGAUGUUAAGAAUAGAGGCAAAACGGUUCAAUACCAUGGGGUGAUAAUCUAUUGCAUCUCCAGGGAUACAAUUUGCACUUCGAUGGCCAAGAAUCAUUUACAUCACUUUCACUAGUAUAUGACUUACAGAAAUAAAACAUAAAAUAGUCUACAACUCAAAAGAAAUAAAAUAGCUCAAAACCAGAAAAGAUAAUGAUAACCCAAUACGCUGCACCAGACAGAACAUUCAGUAAUCUAUUUUUGGCCUGUUUCAAAAUUUUUUGCAUUUUUCCUGGCAGAGUGGUUUAGUUUUAUUGGAGAGCCAUAGGGGAGGGUGGGACAUGGAUAACAGGGAGAUGAGGACUGAAGUGCAGACAGGGAUCAGAUAGCAAAGAGCGUAGACCAUCAUGCAAGGAAGUCUGAAUUUUACUGUUCAGCCUGCGAGGUGCAGGAUGAACAGUGGGAGACCAAGCCUGGAAGACUGAACCAGAUGGGGCGGAUGUGGGGAGAAGUAAGAAGGUCCUGAAACGAGAUGAUGAGAAGAGAAAUGGAGAUACGGGAUUGACAGAGUACAGGAUGAAGGGACAUCCGGUGACUCAGGUGUCAGGAGGACAGAGGGACGUGACAAAGUAAUCAGAGGAGGCUUUGAGGGAGGUCUUCUGGGUGUGCACCCAGGGUGAUGUUUUCUCUGGGGGCCUUUAUUUUUUCUGUUGAAAUGUGGACCUUUGAUUCUGAUCUGCCUUUUCAGUUAAAGAGAAGACACUUCAAAUGGGUAUCUUUCUUGGGAGAGAACUCACACCUUAAUUUUCUCUAGAUUUUCUAAAUGCACAGAUUCCUAAGUUAUAGUUUGGAGAAUUCUUAUAAAUCAACUUCUUUCUCUAGCCCAUUUGAACCCCUUGAUUCUGUCGUGUACAUGGGUGUUCAUUUUGCUGGUUUCCCUCUGUUCGCCCCUGUAACUGCUGGCUUAUCCCUUCUUCUUUGUCCCGCUUUCUCUGCUCUGUCCUGGGGGAUGGCUGAUUUCCCCAAACUGUAUCACCUGGGCCCCCGUCCUCUGCCUUCUGAUUGGCUUUGAUGCCUGGAGAGUGGGAUGAGAGAGAAGGCAGAAUAUUUCUUUCUCAGGCCCCCUUCCUGCUUUGGUAGGUUCAGGCCCUGUUGUCUCUAGUGACAGCAACAUUCCUGAGCUUCAGUUUUCAACUAGGGUUUCCAACAUCUCUCCUUCCUUUGCCUCUCCGGGCCUAGGACAGUGUUAGGGGUGGAAUUGUGUCCCUCCAAAAUUUCUGUUGAAAUCCUAACCCCCAGGAGCUCAGAAAGCGACCUUACUUGGAGUGGGGAUUAUUGGCAAAUGUAAUUAGUUAAGAUGAAGUCAUCCUAAUCCAAUAUGGCCAGUGUCCUUAUAAAAAGGGGAAAUUUGGAUACAGACAUGAACACAUGAAGAAUGCCAUGUGAAGACUGGACCUCCGCUGCCACACAUCAAGGAGCACCCAGAAUCUAGGUGAGGAGCUGGAACUGAUUUUUUACUAGAGUCUUCAAAGGAAGCAACCCUGCUAACACCUUGAUGUCAGUCAUCUGGACUCCAAAGCUGUGAGAUGACAAAUUGCAGUUGAUUAAACCACCCAGUUUGAGGCUUCCCCGGUGGCUCAGUGGUAAAGAAUCAGCUUGCCGAUGCAGAAGAAACUGACUCAAUCCCUGGGUCCAGAAGAUUCCCUGAAGAAGGAAAUGGCGACCCACUCCAGUAUUCUUGCCUGGAGAAUCCCAUGGACAGAGGAACCUGGCGGGCUACAGUCCAUGGGGUUGCAGAGUCGGACACGACUAAGCGACUAAAUAGCAACAACAUCCCUUGGUUAAAAAGUCUCUUCAAGAGUUCCUGGUUGAGUGAGCCGUCUAUUUCUGGCCACGACAUCACGAUCACUAUAGAUUCACUAUCAUGUGAUGGUGUUACUCGCCUUUCCCUUGUAAGAAAUGUUAUAUUCCCGGUCUUUUUAUACUCUUCCGAGUUGUUGUGCACUGGAGUCAUUGUUUUCAGUUAACCUGAGAUUGUUACUGUGGAGAGCAGCCUGCCUUUGCUUAGCCCGCUAUCUCUGCAAAGGGCAGCAUGCGGAGGAAAAGCUGGUGGCAGGCAACACGCACAGCUCUCACGGUGUUUCUCACGCCAGCCCCACUCUUAAAAGUUCAUGCCAAGCUGGGUGACUGGCUUGGCAUUCUAGGCCCUCGUGCCUCCAUUUCCAUAUUGGGAUCGCAUCCAUGGAGGGGUCUUCACCUUCAACUCCAGGAAAGGCAAUAUUAGAGCCGAAGAGACACACUUGUUGGCGUCAAGCCUCAGCGCCGUAGAGGCUUGCUCUGUGCUGUGGAGUGCGGCUCCCUGCCUGCCCCCGCACACUGCAAACACAAGUAUCUCUUUAUCCCAGCGGCUCUUUCCCCUCUUCUUCAUGCGAGUCUCUGAACAAAGGUUAGCCUGUGUUCUUUGGCUGGGUGUCCAGAUUUCUCCUCUUCCCAGCACAAUGAAAAGAUCUCUUCUUAGCCCAGUAGUCUUAUUUAUUUUCUCCAGUCAAGACAAGACACAUCACCAGUUAUUAUCAGGGGUGAUAAAGUGACACUUAAGCAAGGUCAUACAGAUGGCAGAUGUCCAUACUGUUAAUUUUCUCAGACUUGAAAUACCGGCAUCUGUUCUUUUAAAUGUGACUGGCACUUACGUAUUUAAAAGCUAGUUCGAUUUAUCCCAUUCUGGAAUUUUCUGUCCACAGAAUAUUGUGCCAAACAGGUGGUUCUGUGGUGGUCUGAGAAUCCUCACAGCAGUGCAGUAAUAAAGUUAACAAUAAUAAACUUCUUUUCUAUUGUUACUUAAUAUUUUCCAGGUGCUUUCAAAGCAGUUCCAUUCACAAAAGUUAUCUGAGUAGCUUUGAUCUGAGUGUCUGAGUAUCUAUCGGAAUAGUGUUGAUCCUGCUUCAAUUUACCAGUCACCUUCUCCCUGAUAUGUAGACAGUAAACAGAUACUCAAAUCACCUCCAGAAAGAAAAAGUUAACUGCCUGAUGACCAAACUGUAGCUAUGACAUGAGCUGCUCCAUCUUGCAGUCACAAGAACUGGCCUCAGUGAAAUGGGAACACACCUACCCUGGAACUGAAGAUUAACUGCUUAAAGUAAUCCAUCCAAGGUGAUGCUGACCCGACCACCACGUGACCCAUUUCAAGAUGAUUGUUGGAGCUGCCUGUGCUGUUCCACAUGUAGGCCUCCACCUGAAACUCCCCAUUAGAGUCUUUUGUCCUCUAACUGACACCUGGGAGAUGGUUUUGGAAUGCUAGUCUGCCAUCUGCCCAGGUUGGGACUUCCUGAAUAAAACAUCUUCC